UACGUAGGGAGCAAGCGUUGUCCGGAAUCAUUGGGCGUAAAGCGCGCGUAGGCGGCCUUGUAAGUCCGUUGUGAAAGUCAAAGGCUCAACCUUUGAAAGCCGAUGGAUACUGUGAGGCUAGAGUCCGGAAGAGGCGAGUGGAAUUCCUGGUGUAGCGGUGGAAUGCGCAGAUAUCAGGAGGAACACCAAUAGCGAAGGCAGCUCGCUGGGACGGUACUGACGCUGAGGCGCGAAAGCGUGGGGAGCGAACAGG
rnacentral:rRNA from 1 species